AGCAGCCGCGGUAAUUCCAGCUCCAAUAGCGUAUAUUAAAGUUGUUGCAGUUAAAAAGCUCGUAGUUGAAUUUCGGGGUCAAUAAGUUGGUCAUGCCAAUGGUAUGCACUGGCUUUAUUGAUUCCUACCUCUUGACGAACUGUGAUGCCAUUAAUUUGGUGUUGCAAGGAAUCAGGACUGUUACCUUGAAAAAUUAGAGUGUUUAAAGCAAGCUUACGCUUGAAUACAUUAGCAUGGAAUAAUGAAAUAGGACGUUUGAUCCUAUUUUGUUGGUUUCUAGGAUCGACGUAAUGAUUAAUAGGGAUAGUUGGGGGCAUUAGUAUUCAAUUGUCAGAGGUGAAAUUCUUGGAUUUAUUGAAGACUAACUACUGCGAAAGCAUUUGCCAAGGAUGUUUUCAUUAAUCAAGAACGAAAGUUAGGGGAUCGAAGACGAUCAGAUACCGUCGUAGUCUUAACCAUAAACUAUGCCGACUAGGGAUCGGAUGAUGUUAAUUUUUAAUGACUCU
rnacentral:rRNA from 1 species